AGAGUUUGAUCCUGGCUCAGAACGAACGCUGGCGGCGUGCCUAACACAUGCAAGUCGAACGAGAAAUCGGGCACUCAGGCAACUGAGUGCCGGAGAGUAAAGUGGCGCACGGGUGAGUAACACGUGGGUAACCUACCCCCGAAUCUGGGAUAACCUCGCGAAAGCGUUGCUAAUACCGGAUAUUGUCCUAUUGGUUGUGACCUUUGGGAUGAAAGGCAACCUCUUCAUGAAAGUUGUCGUUCAGGGAUGGGCUCGCGUACCAUUAGCUUGUUGGUGGGGUAACGGCUCACCAAGGCUACGAUGGUUAGCUGGUCUGAGAGGAUGAUCAGCCACACUGGAACUGAAACACGGUCCAGACUCCUACGGGAGGCAGCAGUGAGGAAUUUUGCGCAAUGGGGGAAACCCUGACGCAGCAACGCCGCGUGAGUGAAGAAGGCUUUCGGGUCGUAAAGCUCUGUCAAGUGGGAAAAAAGUCUGAUGAUUAAUAGUUGUCAGAUCUGAUGGUACCACUGGAGGAAGCACCGGCUAACUCCGUGCCAGCAGCCGCGGUAAUACGGAGGGUGCAAGCGUUGUUCGGAAUUACUGGGCGUAAAGGGCGUGCAGGCGGGUUGGUAAGUCAGAUGUGAAAGCCCUGGGCUCAACCCAGGAAGUGCAUUUGAAACUGCCAUCCUUGAGUAUGGGAGGGGGGGGAGGUGGAAUUCCCAAUGUAGAGGUGAAAUUCGUAGAUAUUGGGGAGGAACACCCGUGGCGAAAGGCGACUCUCUGGACCAAUACUGACGCUGAGACGCGAAAGCGUGGGGAGCAAACAGGAUUAGAUACCCUGGUAGUCCACGCUGUAACGAUGAGAACUAGGUGUAGCGGGUAUUGACCCCUGCUGUGCCGAAGUAACGCAUUAAGUCUCGCCUGGGGAGUACGGCGCAGCUAAAACUCAAAGGAAUUGACGGGGCCGCACAGCGGUGAGCAUGUGUCAUCGACGCAACGCGAGACAUACUGGGUUGACUCCUUUGAUGUCCGAACGGGAUCUUUCUGACUUUGUCGAACAAAUGACGGUGCUGCAUGCUGUCUCACUCGU
rnacentral:rRNA from 1 species